rnacentral:lncRNA from 1 species
AGCUCCUCCAAGGCCGGCAGCAGGGACUCCUUCCUCUGUCUUUUGAUACUGCUGCUGGAAAAAGAAAACAAAAUAAUACAUCUAGAGAGGCCUUAAAGAUCCUAUAAUCCAAACCUUAUUUAUACAGAUUAAGAGGCCAAGACCCAAGGAGAUGAAUGGGUUAGUGGUUGAUCUGGCAUCACACUCUUCUUACCGGCUUAAGACUGAAUACCACCAAUCUUCUGUAUUAUGCAUUUUAUUUAUAUCAAAAACAAGAACUAAGAGGAAAAUUAUGUGUCUCUUUUUCAAGGAAGAAAAGGCAUGUGGAGCUUUGUAUCUUUGUUUGAAAAUUUUUAUGGUGCUAUUCACACUUAACAAGUGUGUUAAUCUCCUUGGAUUCUUUCUCUUUCUUUUUCUAGAAUAGAUGAUAUGCAGCACCCUUCUUAAGGAAUCAAAUACACUUAAUUAAAAGAUGCCAGAUUCCAAUA